rnacentral:rRNA from 1 species
AUACGUAGGGUGCAAGCGUUAAUCGGAAUUACUGGGCGUAAAGCGUGCGCAGGCGGUUUUUUAAGAAAGAGGUGAAAUCCCCGGGCUCAACCUGGGAACUGCCUUUGAGACUGGAAGGCUAGAGUACGGCAGAGGGGGAUGGAAUUCCGCGUGUAGCAGUGAAAUGCGUAGAUAUCCGGAGGAACACCGAUGGCGAAGGCAAUCCCCUGGGCCUGUACUGACGCUCAUGCACGAAAGCGUGGGGAGCAAACAGGAUUAGAUACCCUGGUAGUCCACGCCCUAAACGAUGUCAACUGGUUGUUGGGUCUUCAUUGACUCAGUAACGAAGCUAACGCGUGAAGUUGACCGCCUGGGGAGUACGGCCGCAAGGUUGAAACUCAAAUGAAUUGACGGGG